ensembl:snoRNA LOC120101274 small nucleolar RNA SNORA48
UGCCCCAACCCUGGCAAUACAUAAAAAUACACUUUCUUGGUGGCGGUGUUUUUAUAUCAGACAGGGGCAGAGUAGAUGGCGGUCCUUUGUUCAUCCUAGCUUGAUGACUGGCUUGGUGGGCAAAGCUGUCUCAUGCCUAGGACUCAUAU